CCAGCCAACCCUAGAGCCUCUCCAGUCUCCACUGCUCGGCCGCCGCCUGCCGCAGCCCGCCGUCCACUGGUCCCGCCUCCCGGCGUCCGCUCCACGCCUCCACUGCUCCCGGCGUCCGCUCCAUUGCUACCAUCGUCCGGCGUUCUGCUCCUGCGCCCUCCCUUUGAUUCGUUGCCAGUUGUAGUGUCCGGGCAGAUUUGAGCUGUGGCAGCAAGCAAGGAUUGACGAAGCGUGCGUUCCCAUCGCACCACCAUGGGCUACACAGAGAUCGACAUCCGCCCCUCUGGGAGCGGCAAGAUGUGAUAGAUAUUAGUAUGAAAGAUAAAAACUAGAAUGCUAUGCCUGUCAGAGGAGCUUUCUUCAGUUUCAGAACACACCUCUCCAUCUUUCGGUGCUUGGUGGAUCACCGUCUAAACGAUCCACCACCAGAACCGCCCAACCCCAAGAUAGGCAGCUCCAUCUCAGUCGUUGUACCCGUUCAAUUCACACCAAGUGUCAUUCUUCACUAGAGUGUCAUUCUUCACUUUAUGAUUC